GCCUGGGUGGCUCAGUCAGUUGGGCGUCUGACUUCGGCUCAGGUCAUGAUCUCACAGUUUGUGGGUUCGAGCCCCGCAUUGGGCU
rnacentral:tRNA from 1 species